rnacentral:rRNA from 1 species
UACGAAGGGGGCUAGCGUUGUUCGGAUUUACUGGGCGUAAAGCGCACGUAGGCGGAUUGUUAAGUGAGGGGUGAAAUCCCAGGGCUCAACCCUGGAACUGCCUUUCAUACUGGCGAUCUUGAGUUCGAGAGAGGUGAGUGGAAUUCCGAGUGUAGAGGUGAAAUUCGUAGAUAUUCGGAGGAACACCAGUGGCGAAGGCGGCUCACUGGCUCGAUACUGACGCUGAGGUGCGAAAGCGUGGGGAGCAAACAGG